rnacentral:sRNA from 1 species
GCUUGGCAUAGUAGUGCAUGCCAGUAAUCCUAGCUACUCAGGAGGCUGAGAUAGGAGGAUUGCAAGUUCUGAGACCAGCCUGGGCAACUUAGUGAGAUUCUGUUUAAA